UAUGAUGUAGGGGAAGAGCUUAAGGAUAUUGAUACUGCUGGCAAGAUAUAAAGAUAAAGGCCUAACGGCUAGUGAACUUGAAGAUUUGGUUCUGCUAGUUGGGUACCAGCUUAUAUAUGCGGGACAGUUACACGGCUUUAGCCUCCCUUUAUCUUUCUGGGUCUGUACUUCUCUUACAUCACAUGGCUGAAAGAUGAAUUUUAAUGGGGCCUGCAAAGAGAAACUUCUUGUUCAAAUAAGAUAAGUUCGUUGUGUACUUGUGCUUUCUACCAGAUAUUGGAUUUCACAGAUCAUUCUGGACAGACAGCUUGUCUAAACUUGCUGGAAGGUUGAUGUAUCUUGAGCCUCGCGAAAAGAGAGUAUGAAAACCCAUUUUUAUACAAAAAAGCUGGAAACUAGACGUUGAAUUAUGUGAUGCCAUCACAAAUGAUGAUAUAAGUGUCACUGAAUGUUACAAAAGGAAAGGUCAUGAAGUAAUUGUAAAGCAGUCAUGGUAUUCUAAUAUCUGUAUGUUCUUAGAAGUAUCCUGGAGAGAAACUAAAUUAUUAUUCUCCUUCUACAUUCUUUUUUGUUGAUUCAUGCACAAAGCAAAAAUAUCCUCCUCUUGCAGGUUUUGUCUAGAUGGAACGUUACAACGGAGCCUGUUAUCUCUGCUGUUCUUCUGAUAUAGCAAAUGAAUGUUGAAAAGGUUCUCAAUUGUUGCUAUGCCAGAUGUCCAUGACUGGAGUAAAGUAGAUGAACUUGAGAAAGACUCCAUUCUCAAGAUGAUGCUUCAAUCUCAUCACCAAGGAGACAAAAUGGGGCUGAGUAAUGGCACCUAGCAAGAUCUGAAUUGGAUUCUGAUGAAAAUGACUCGAGUUGUCCUAAAUGCCUAGUCCUUUCUGUGGAUGAGCAUGUCACAAGCAUUCCCACUGCAAUGUUGGGUUUGGAGUAUGGAAAAUCAGAAUUUAGGUUCUGACUUUUCAUAAUAAAACUAGAUGAGAGAGGUCAUCCUAGUAACAAUACCGAGAGAAUGGCUAUAACGUUGUGUCAUGACUCGUGUUCUGAUAAAUGGUAUUGAUUAUAUAUUUGUUACCUUGUA